rnacentral:rRNA from 1 species
GAGUGUUUUUAUUUUGGAGCGACCGGCGAAUGGGUGAGUAACACGUAUGCAAUCUACCUUUUGCUGGGGUAUAGCCAGGAGAAAUUCUGAUUAAUCCCCCAUAAUAUAAAGUUUCUGCAUGGAGCCUUUAUUAAAACUCUGGUGGCAAAAGAUGAGCCUGCGUUUGAUUAGUUAGUUGGUGAGGUAAUGGCUCUACCAAGACUAUGAUCAGUAGGGGGCCUAAGAGGGCGUACCUCCAACUGGUACUGAGACACGGACCAGACUUCUACGGAAGGCAGCAGUGAGGAAUAUUGGUCAAUGGAGGAAACUCUGAACCAGCUACGCCGUGUGCAGGAUGACGGUCUUUUAGGUUGUAAACUGCUUUUGUAUAGAAAUAAAACUCCUACGUGAUAGGAGCUUGAAGGUACUAUACGAAUAAGUGUCGGCUAAUUCCGUGCCAGCAGCCGCGGCAAUACGGAAGACACAAGCGUUAUUCGGAUUUAUUGGGUUUAAAGGGUGUGUAGGCUGUUUAUUAAGUCAGUAGUGAAAGCUUACAGCUUAACUGUAAAAUUGCUAUUGAUACUGGUAAACUUGAGUAAGAUUGGAGUAGCUGGAAUGUAUGGUGUAGCGGUGAAAUGCAUAGAUAUCAUACAGAACACCGAUAGCGAAGGCAGGCUGCUAAAUCUUUACUGACGCUGAGUCACGAAAGCGUGGGUAGCAAACAGGAUUAGAUACCCUGGUAGUCCACGCCCUAAACGAUGAUCACUAGCUAUUGGAAAAACGAUAUUCAGUGGCUUAGCGAAAGCGAUAAGUGAUCCACCUGGGAAGUAUAGUCGCAAGAUUGAAACUCAAAGGAAUUGACGGGGGUUCGCACAAGCGGUGGAGCAUGUGGUUUAAUUCGAUGAUACGCGAGGAACCUUACCAAGGCUUAAAUGUAUUACGAAUAAGCUGGAAACAGUUUAGUCUAUACGACGUAUUACAAGGUGCUGCAAUGGUUGUCUUCAGUUCGUGCUGUGAAGUGUUUGGUUAAGUCCUAUAACGAGCGCAACCCCUAUUGUUAGUUGCCAUCGGGUAAAGCCGGGGACUCUAACAAAACUGCCGGUGUAAACUGUGAGGAAGGUGGGGAUGAUGUCAAAUCAUCAUGGCCUCUAUGCCUUGGGCUACACACGUGCUACAAUGGCUGGUUACAAAGGGUCGCCACUGGGUGAUCAGGAGCUAAUCUCUAAAACCAGUCUCAGUUCGGAUUGGAGUCUGCAAUUCGACUCUAUGAAGCCGGAAUCGCUAGUAAUCGCGCAUCAGCAAUGGCGCG